CACAACUCGUAUCUAAUAAAUGAAUGUAAUCGAUGUAAACGCAUCUCUAUACUAAGUUUCAACAACGGAUCUCUUGGCUCUCGCAUCGAUGAAGAACGCAGCGAAAUGCGAUAAGUAAUGUGAAUUGCAGAAUUCAGUGAAUCAUCGAAUCUUUGAACGCACCUUGCGCUCCUUGGUAUUCCUCGGAGCAUGCCUGUUUGAGUAUCAUGAAAUUAUCAAACCGAGACUUGCGUUAACUCACUUGGCUUGUGUUUGGACUUGGGGGUCUGCAGAUCCACGUCUGCUCUCCUUAAAUACAUUAGCUGGAUCUCGGUAUGCCUGGUUCCACUCGGCGUGAUAAGUAUCGUUCGCUGAGGACACCCGUAAUAAAGGUGGCCAGGAGUGCAGAUGAAUCACAGCGUGCCCAACGGUCUAUUGAUUAGACAGUGAUACUUAUGAUCCGAUCUCAAUCAGUAGAGGCUGG
rnacentral:rRNA from 1 species